CGUGGAGAGUAGACAUUCCUCCGAAUGACGUCAUGACGUUCCCCCUACGUCUGACGUCACUGACGUCGAACGGGGCUGUUUGUUCUGGAUUCAGGGGUGAGGAAGACCUGCGCGCGCUGACAACCGACAGAAAAAGGUCACUACUCCACCCCUCUCAUCAACCAACCAACCAAAGGAAGACUGGCCCCUCUCUCCUGCCCCCCUCCAGGUCACUACUCUACCUCUCUGUUCUGAGAGAUGACACUCCCUCUGGACUAGACCAAGCCUGCACCACAACAGACAAACAUACAAUCCAAUGGGCUGGGAUGAUGACUAUGAUGACGUUACUCUCCCCCCCCUUCUAGAGAAUCCAGUGGGCUGUGAUGAUGACGAUGAUGACGUUACUCUUCCUCCUCCCUUCAGAGAGUCCAGCGUUUUGUGUGAUGGCCUGAGAGGGCUUCCCAGUCUAGCCUGCCUGCCUCUCCCGGGUCCAAACUGUCUGACUGGGACUCCCCCCCUCCCCGCCUGCUACGCCCUGCCUCCGUCGCCAUGGGAGACGGCCUGGAGGCGGGCAGCAGCCUAGA